rnacentral:tRNA from 2 species
GCCAGGGUGGCGGAAUUGGUAGACGCGACGGAUUCAAAAUCCGUUUCCCGCAAGGGAGUAGGGGUUCAAGUCCCCUCCUUGGUACCA